AGUUACCAUUCAAAAACUUUAUUUUUAUUGCACAAGAAACAACACACACCACACAAAGACACGUGGUGGAAACAAGAUACUAGGGAAGGGCAGACUUUCAGAGCUAUGUGUAGGUCCAGCUAUCAUUUUGAAAGUUGUCCAAGGGGGUGGAGUGAAGGGGAAACCAAGAAGUCCCAGAAAGCAGAAAGGACUGAGCAGGCGGAGUUUGGUGGGGGGAUAUGGAAAAGAGUUCUGAAUGUUCUGCAGGGGAGGGUGGGCAUGCAUCUGCUCAGUCUGAAGCAUUAUUAAAGACUUCAGCAUCUGCAUUUUCUCCUCCAUGAUGUUAAUCAUCCACUCAGUAGCAUCCUUAAACUCCUGACUUUCUUUUCUGUCCUGCCUUUCGGCUUCCCUCCAUUCUUUGUGUUCCCUUUUCUCUGCAUUGGAGAAGUGCAGUACCUCUCGGAACAUAGGGUGACCAAAUGUCCCAUUUUUAAAGGGACAGUCCCAUUUUUGGGGACUUUUUCUUAUACAGGUGCCUAUUACCCCACAUCCCCUGUCCCGUUUUUUCACAGUUGCUAUCUGGUCACCCUACCGGAACAUGUCUUCUUUGCUCCAUCUUGGGGACUUUCUUAUCUGGUGAAGAUGCUCAGCCAGUGUGUAUGGGGUGUUCCUCAAGGCCACAUCUGCCAAAGCAGAAGGAACAAUGCACAGAAGCAUGAUUUGUUCACGCACAGUAUUGAAACAUUUCAGUGCAAUAUACCUCUGGUAACAGAACAAUCACUUUCUCACUGACCCUUGGCAAGCCCACAUCUUGGCGAACACCCAAAGCAUGGUGAGUGUUGGCGGGGGGUGGGAUGCUCUACAUCGGGAAACGAGCAUUCUGCAAGGGUUGCGGUGCAGCUGACUACGGAAAAAAUUCUAAAAUUGUCCCACACUUUUCCACAGGCGGGGAUCAUUGUAGCAGAUAUCUCACUGCUGAGGAUAAGCAGGAAAGCGAGGGUACAUCUACUACACAUUUCUGGCUUCCGCCCAGGUCCUUAUGCUGCUCACCUGUGUGCUGCUUUGGUCCCUGCACAAAUGAUUGCCGAAUGGCGCAGGCAUAUUUCCUACAAUGGGGGAAGGAACAAAGCAAGGAUUGCAAGGAUUGCCGAGUACCUCCAGGAAACUUUGCUAGAGAUCUCUCUGGAGGAUUCCCGUGAGAUGUCGACAUACAUCAACACCCUGUUCCAUUGUACUGAUUAGCUGCACAGGGAAAUGUCCAACACACAGAAACACAGUUGGCCUUGUACGUUUCUGUAUCCUGAACCCACCUCUGCACUACACACACCACAGCCACUUACCAAGUGUCUCCUCUCCUGCUUCUUGUUUGCUGGAGAGCAACUGCUAAGACUGGCUAGACACCUCCAGAGUGGUGAACAAUUCCUGACUGCCUGCCUCACCAGGCAACCCCACUGGGAGCUGCACAUCAUUGUCUAACUCCACCUCUUCAUCAAUGACUUCGUCCUCCAGGUUAGGUCCUCUUUCUGCUGCCUCCAGGCCCACCGAAGUAUCCACUGGGCUCUUGGCAGUGGAGGUGCAGUUGCCAUCGAGGAUAGCAUCCAGCUCCUUAUAGAACUAGCAGGUCUCUGGUGCAGCAUCCCUCACCUUAUGGGCCACUUCUUCUCUGAGUAAUCCCCACUCCAAUCCUACAUCUCCUGAGAAUUCCUACUAUGAAGGUGAAUCAUGCUGGAAGGAACAGACUUGGAACUGCUGCUGAUUCCCCCUAUAAACACUUAAAAGAAAUCCCCACUGAAUAUACUAGCAACUAGUGGCAAUCCUCAAGACGAGGACUGAGGAGGAAGACUCAUGUGAAAAGUGACUGACACACUGCUCUUCCAAAUGGAACAUCCAUUCUGAUCUGGACUUGGUAUGGACAAAAUAAUACUUUGCAAAUGUAUGAUCUGAGCACCAAGUAGCAGCCAGCAGAUCUCAGUGAACAAAUGCUGCAGAAGCUGCCACUUUCGCCCAAAUCCCAAUAGUAGAAGAGGUUUGAGUCAAAGGUACAGUUACUUCAUCAAGAUCAUAUCCUGUCUUGAUCCAUUCAGAUCGCAUCUGGACUAAAACUGAUUGGCCCUUACCUCUUCCACCAAAAGCCCCAAACCAUUUUGAGGCCUUUUUAAAAGGCUUUGUCCUAUUGAGGAAUUAACAGAGAGCCCUUUUAAUAUGCAAGGUGUACAGAUUAAGGUGGAUUGCAAAAUCAGGAGGCUUAGAAAAUACUGGUCAAAAAGGUCUGAUUUAAAUGAAAAUCCAUGGCCUCUAUAGUCAAGAUUCUGGGAUGAGAUCUUAAGAGUACUUCAUCCUUGUGAAAAUGUGUAUAAGGAGGAUCUGCAACAAAGCCCACAGUUCUGAAAUGCUCCUGAGAGAUGCUCUAGUCACAAGGGAAAAAAACCUUCAAUGACAGAAGUAGAAGUCAAGAACAUCAAGAGGAGCCUCCAUGAACCUUGUAAGAACCAAGCUUUCAAUCCCUUGGAUCACCGGGUUUUAGCUUUGAAUAUACAUUCAAACCCUUAAUAUACUGUUUGUAUGACAAAAGACCAAACUGCUUUGUUUUGCCCAUGUACAUGCAAAGUAUCAUCUGGUUGGAUCCCAGGGUGAUCCUAAAUCUGUGAAAGACAAAGAAAAUUCUAAAAUGGCUGUAAAAGGACAAGAGACUGGAGUCAUCUCGAAGUUCUCCAGACCAAAUCUUUUAACCAUUUCCAUUUACAGACAUGUGACUAUCUGGUGGAAUAUUUUUGUGAUUCCACAAGCACAGCAGCAACUUUCACUGAGAAAUAGAAGUAUUCCCUUUUUAAUAAGCUAUCAACCAAGCGAUCAGAUAAAGAGAUUUCUAGUCUGGGUGAAGCAUCUGACCUUUCUGCUGGGGCAAGAGAUCUGGGCACAGGCAAAGACAAAGGAUUCAUCAUCAUGCAAGAACAAGGGGACACCCUAUGGAAUUAAAAGGCAUCCAUUUUAAAUGAUAAAAGGAAAUACUUUUAUUAUCUAAUGAUAAUUAAGCUUGGGAACUUACUGUCACAAGAUGUUACUGAGGUAUAGAUUUUAGUAGGGUUUUAAAAAAGAUUAGGCAUUUCUAUAAAUAUUAAGGAUAUUCAAGUUACAUUAGAUAGGAUAAAAGAAAUCAGAAGGCAUAUGAAGACUCAUGCUUCAAGUACUAACUGCCUGAAAUUAGGAAGAAAUCCGCAUAAGCAUGUUAUUGCAUAAUUUUCUAUUAUGAGGUUCUAUGUCAUCCUCUGAAGCAUCUAGGAUUGAUCACUAUCAAAGAGAAGAUACUGAACUAGGUGGCCUAUUGAUCUGAUCCAACAUCACAAUUCCUAUUUUCCUAUGCCACUGAAUUCAACACAAGGCCCUUCAGUAGAUUUUUUUGCUAGCAAGAUGGCCACUACUAAUAAUACAACUCAAAAUUGCAUUUUAUAAAUAAAUGAAAAGAUAUUUCCAAGUUAAUUUCAAAGUUGAUUUGUGAUAUUCCUUAUCUUUUCUGAACUUUCAAACUACUGCACUAAAAACUGCUAAAGAUUUGGGUGACGUUCACUCAGGGGUGAAAGUAAGCCAGUAUGGACCGGUACAGCAUACCAGUAAAAAGUGGCCGCCAGUACUGUCCCGUACCCAGCUGAUGGCAGCGCUUUAACGUCGUUGCCCCCUUUGCCCCCUGGGCCGCUGACCGGAAGGGCAGGGGGGAGGGGACAAAAGGAGCAGCUGUCCCGGGGCCGCGAUUUAACAGGGCCUGGGGCUCCAACCACUGCUGCCUCUACCACAGCAGCGGCCAGAGUCCCGGGCCCUUUAAAUCACCGCUGGAGCCCCGGGUGGCGCGGGCCAGGCAGUGUGGAUGGGCUGGCUGGGGGAUGCUGAUCCUCAGCCCUGCCCCUUCUGCCUGAGGCCCCGCCCUUUCCGGGGACGGAGCUGGCCCCCAUACCAGUAAGUGCUUAAUGUUACUUUCACCCCUGCAUCCACUGGUUCUUCUCCCUAACUGGGUGUAUCAAAAUAGCAUCCAAUCAGCAGAGGGAGCACACAUAAUAGGAACAAACCAUUGCUAAGUGUGAGAUGCAGUGAAGUGGUGAAGAGAAAACAAAAAGAUCUGUCUAGGAGCAGCUGAUUCACCACAGCCAGAUAGAAUUUAAAAUCUGACACUAGAGAAGAGAAAUAAAAUCCACAAAAAUAAACUAAGUACUUGGCUGACAGAGAGCCAGGGGUGGAGUAGGGUAGAGUUGCCCAAAGAGGGGAAGUUAAAAGUUAAGGGUCAAACCCAGCCAACAAUAAGAUGUCCUCAGGGCGUGUCUACAACUCAGAAAGCUAUGGAAAGGUAAAUCCCAAUCUCUCCAACUCAGCUUGGGAUAGCCAAGGAGCUGCUCAAGAAGGAGAGCUCAUGUAUAUCUGUGUCACACACUGAGGUGUAGGCAGUGUGACUUAGUGGUCAGAGCAGGAGUCUGACCUAGUGGUCAGAGCAGAAUCACAGUCAUGGUCAGGAGACAAACCAAUGGUUGGAGUCAGGAGCUGGAACAGAACCAAAGAGCAAAGCUGGAGUUGCAAUCAAGAGACGAGCUGAGCUCAUUUGGUUGCUAGGCGAAUAAGCCUGGAGGCAGCUGAGUUCCUGACAAUACCCCCUCCCCAAGGGCUCCUCCUAGGGACCCUUGGUCCUGGCUUGUGAGAAUAUCUUUGGUGACAUUCCCAUAGGAGAUAGGGAGCGUAAACAUUUUCUUCUGGUGCCCAGGACCUCUCUUCUCGCCUGUACCCCUUCCAGUGUGUCAGAUGCUGGAGCUUCCCCCAGAGCCUUUGGAGUUGAGGACCUGAUGGACUUUUAUUCCUCCUGUCCAUGGACAAUUAAAGAGGGUGGAGAAGUGUUUACCCAGUCAGGGAAGAGGUUGUUGAUGAACGGUUUAAGGAGAGAAACAUAGAAGUCAGGGUGAAUCUUGAGGGAUUCUGGCAGUUGAAACUUUAAGGUCACGGAGUUUAUUUGUUCAAUAUUCUGAAAAGGACCCAGGUAUUAGUGGACAAGCGUGGACAAAAGAUGGCCCAUUCUCAGGUUUUGAGUCAAGAGUCUAUCCCCUACUCCAAGGUUAGGGAUGGCUUGUCACCUUCAGUCGGCUUAUAUGUUUCUUUAGUGGCAAGUAAGUGCUCCUUGAGUCCCUGGUGUGUUUGCUGGAGGUAGUCGACUAAGUCUGUAGCCACUGGAACAGUGGAGCCUUUGGGCAGAUCUGGAUGGAAUUGGGGAUGAAAACCAAAAUUUGUGAAGAAUGGGGUCUGUUGAGUUGAAGCAUGUGUUGAGUAGUUGUAUGUGAACUCAGCGAAACAGAGCAAUGGAAGCCAAUCAUCAUAUGGGAAUCCAGGAAACAGCAGAGGUACUGCUCCAGGAUCUGAAUUACUUUCAGUUUGGCCAAUUGCCUGCGGAUGGUAGGCUAUCGAGGUGAGGGGCUUGGUGCCAAGAAAGGCAGAGAAAUUCCUGCCAGAACCAAGAAAUGAACUGAGGGUAUCGAACCAAAAUGAUGCAUGGUAGCAGAAGAUAUGUUCAAGGAAGGCUUGCACAGUUCCAUGGGCAGAUGGAACACUGUGGCAGGGAAUAAAAUGGGCCAUCUUGGCUAGGAGGUCAGGAUAACUGAGUGUCCUUGGGAGCAUGGUUACUCAACAGUAAAGUCCAUUGAGAGGAUGGAGAAAGGACAUGGAGGUGUGUGAGGGUGCUGAAGGAGGCUCACAGGCUUGGCUCGCAGUUUUUUCAUAUGGGCACAGAGGUCACAAGACCUAAUAUAGAUUUAAAUACUAGUUUGUAGGGUUUGCCACCAGAAGUACAUAUCGAUCAGGUUCCAGAUUGCAAACUGGCUGGGCAAAUCAUGGCAUAACCAUAGCACCUGAAGCCAGGAGCUGCCCUUGGGAAUGUAGAGACAAUCCUUGUGAAAAAGGAGGCCUUGUUGUAGAUGAAAACUUGAAUCCAAGGAAGCACUGCUGGUUCUUAGGAUUUGGUAGAUUGGGGCUUCAAAUAGGUCACAGCCUCAUUCCAGUGGGUGUCUGUGGCCAGCCAUUAAAAUUCUGCUGAAUAUUUGGCAUUGGACCUGGCAACCUGCCAGAUGGCAUAGAGACUAGCAUCUGCGGUACAUUCUUGAAGAUGCCCACCACUGUCUGUACAAAGCUCUUGAAGUGUUCAAGGAGAGAACUGGACCCUUCCAGGAUCAGGAACGCCCACUUCAGGGCUUCUCUGGUGACAAUGCUAAAUAUUAAUCCCACUUGGGACUGAUCUGUGGGAUAUGACUGUGGCACUGACACAAACUGGAAACAACAUUGGUUAAGGAACCCAUAAAACUUGGCAUAAUCCACAUUGAACUUAUAGAGUAGGGGCAACUUGGGCUCAGGGACAAUGGAUAAGAGAGCUGGGGGGACAAAAGACAGUGCCUGGAUUUGUAUUGGACUUGGAGAACCAUAGUGAGGCAACAUUAGCCUGCAGUUUCGCAGGACCUCAACAACAUCUGAGAAGGUGGGUUGAGCUCCUGCUGUGACCAUUCUGGAGGGGAGUCUGGCCUAGUGCUCAAAGCAGAAUCAGAGGGCAGAACCAGAGUCGUGGUCAUGAGACAAGCCAAUGGUCAGAGCCAGGAAUCAGGAGCCAGAACAGAACCAAAGGGCAGAGCUGAAGUCCUGGUCAGGAGACAAGCCAGUGGUCAGAGCCAGGAGUCAGAAAUCAGUUCAGAGGUAGGCAAGGACUAGGUCUGGAACAGAGCAGGCAAGGGUUGGAGUAAGGGCCGGGCAGGAAACAGGUAUGGCAGAGCUGCGGCUGCAGAAUGCAUUGAGCAGCCACUGUGCUGCUAUUGCUACAACACUUAAAUGGUGAUCUGUUGGCUCUUCUGACCAAUCAGGGAGCACAGUCACUUAGUGAGGGUUUAUUGGGCACAGACGAGCUCAUUUGUUUGCUAGGUGGCCAAGCCCAAAGGCAGCUGAGUUCCUGACAAAUUGAGCUCUCUGUCUCCAACAUGCCACUCACCCUGUGCUGGACUGUUCCCCCAUUGACACUAUCGAAUUUGUGAGUUCCAACUGUCCUAGACCUCAAUUUGUUCAACUUGCAUUUCUCCGUGGUGGGGUAGGAAAAACAGGAGAAAGACCUGAUCAUCAUCAGAUGGCAGCAGGCCCAGCCCUAGGUGUUUUGGUUUACUAGAAUGGAAAACUUUUUUAGUGCCCUCAAAACCUUAUUUGGUACUCCCAGAAGUUGGCUGCCCUGAUCACCUGCGCCCAAGGCUGGCCCUGGAUGGCAGGGAGGAGUACGGCAGGAAAUAAACUAUUUCCCAGUGACUCUGCUGCUGGCAGUGCGGAGAGGAAUACUCACACACUUCUGAGAGGAAGAGCUCGCCUCAUAAUUUCAAGCUUUUAUGGGAAAGGUGAUCACAGUCUUAAGAACUGGACGCCAGCUUCUGGGCUGACAACUCAAUUUCUGAGCCACUAGCAAGGGAAGAGGUGCUUUGGGCUGUGGCCCAUUUUGAAUUUAUUCCUAUCUAACAUUGGAAAAGCUGCCCCAUAUAUUAGUGCAUGAGGAGGGAUGACAUUAUUCUUGUGACCCUUAUUGCAAUAUAUGGCCAUUGGGAUGGGUAGCAUGGCAUCUGAUUGCUCUCCUGGUAGGGAGUUAUGAUGUGUGACCAUAGCUAAAUAAAUUUGCAUUCCUCAGUCAUGACCAAAGGAUAAUGAGGAAAGUGCCAUCUCAGGAGUGCAAGUAGCCUCUGCAGGUGCUGGAUAUCUGCAGCUCCCUUGGCUUCUCAGUCCACUAGCUGAAGAGGAAAAUUUUUGCUGGCUAUGUCACCAUAUUUUGCCAAAGACAGAAUUUUGGUUCUACAUUUUGAUGGUGCAAGCAACCCAGGGAAUUUUAUGAUGAACAAAUACUACCUUUGUAAAUGUUAGCUGUGGUCAUUGUUGACAUCACAAGUGGCCUUGCUCUUAUGGUUACAACAAUGUCAUUAGAACUCCUUGAAGUACAUAUAAGCUGUGUCAAUUAUCUGGGUAGCCUCCUCUAUAUAAAACACAAAUACUUUUCCAAGUAUAGAUCUAUAAAUAUGUAUAAUUGAUUUUAUCAUGUGUCAUGCACAUAAACUAUAUGAAUAAAGCCACAUGACUCUGUAAAGCUAACUUUUACUGAAAAUUUAACAAAGCAAGUUAUUUUUAGUACAUGCAGAUCAUAAGUGGACAUUUUACAGAAAAAGUUAGUUGUACUUUCUGGUAGUAAUUACCUCCCACAAAUAUGACUCACUUCUGCAGUUUAAAUGCAAUGGUUUGGUGUCCCAAAAUCAACAGUUUUAUAAAUAAAUCUCUGAAUCACAGACUGAAUGCCUGAAGUGUUUAAAUAUUUCUUACUGGUCUGGGAAGAGUUUUCUGUUUAGGCUUUUACUUCAUAACAAAUUCCCAGGGAACAGUACUGAUACUUAAAAUAGGUAAACAUAGAUAAAAUAGGUAGGCUGCAGUGAGAUUUAUAUAAGGAUCAUGUAACUAAGUUUUCUGACUCUUUUAUCGUUCUGUUAACAUCAGCCAGGACUUCAAAGUUGGAUGUGAAUAGGACCUAAGAUGGAAUUAAUUUUCCUGUUUCACUGCAUCCAUUUUGUAAAAAUAAUAUUUGAAUCUGAGACUUUUUUUGAGGUAUGGCAGAACAAAUGGAGUUGUGUGGGACCAUUCAGGAAUCUCAUGGGGAGGCAGGCAGAUCACUUCAGUAAAUAAAUGCUGACUGUAUCAGUUAAGAAUGUUAACGAAAGAACAGGCCUCUCCAGAAGAAGCCAACUGACUAUACUUUUAAAAUGCUAAAGAAAAAAAAGUCCUCCUUUGGACUUCAAAUAACUGAAUUCUAACUAUCUAACAUAAAAAUGACAAUACUAUCUUUUUUAUAUAAGAUAUCAAUAGAGUCUGACACCAUCCACAGAUCUAAGGUUGAUAGUUUUGUAAUAUUUUAAAACUGGACACUCCAGCAAGAGUGGCGGAACUUCCCCUGUCUCACCUCUUCUUCCCGAGGCCCUUUUCUGCCACGCCUCUUUUCCCCACGGUCCCGCCUCUGCCCCCAAGGCCCUGCCCCGCCCUUCUCCUGAAGCCCCGCCCCCUGUUCGCUCCUCUUCCCCUCUCCCCCGCCCACCUAGGUCAGGAGGGACUUGCCUGCAGAGUCGGGGCUGGGAGCUGCAACUGCCCAACGCAGAUAGGAGGCGGUCCUAGCUGAGUAGAGGCUGGCAUGGGUGAUGACCCAGUGCCUCCCUACCUACCCAACCCGCAGUAAUCGGUCUUUGGGUAUCCAGUCAGUAUAUCUGACCAGACACUGUCAACCAGACUUUUCAGUUGAACACUGGGCACCUGGCCACCCCACAUAGAUCUAUAUUAAUUUAUAUGUUUAUGUCCUGAAAUUUUACUAUAAAAAAUGUUCUGAAAGAGGGUCUUAUACUGAUCCUUUUUCAUUACGUGCAUAUUCCAGAAUCAGUGAAUCUCCUAAAUAGUCCAGAGGCUGCAAAUUAAGCUAAGUGCAUUGAGUAACCAAAUCCAAAAGGAGGGAAAAUAACUUUUUUUCUCAUAAUGUAAAAAAGCUACAAACCCCAAAGAGAAGAGCCUUGUCAAACUUGUCUGCCAUUCCUAACACAGCUGCUUAAAAUAAAUGUUCAGCUUUUUCUGGAUUUGCUGCCUGUUUUGCAGCUGUUCUCUGCUGCUGUUCUGUCUCCAUAUAAUCGGGAGAACACAAGGAAACACAUAGGCUCUUCUUUAGCCAAGGGGAGAAACUUCUGCCAAGGAAACUGAACUGCUGAUAGUGGCCACCAAAUAUUAUUAAAUGUAUAGGGUCAGAUUCUGCUACUCUUACCCAUAUUGGGCAAUACUUUUCACCUCAAGUUGACCCACUGAUUAAACUUGAGCAGGGUAUUACUGAAGGGAAAUAAGGAUGGAAGAAUCUAGAACAUACUAGUCUAACUAGAAAAGGGUUGCUGAUAUAGCUAUACUGUUACAGCUAUAAUGGCAAAGUCUCCUAAGGUAGACACAGCUUCUAUCUGCAAAAAAGUGCUCCUGCAGGGAUAGCUUGUAUGAGUUCCCCAAGCCAAAUAAGGUACACCAGCAAAAUAACUUUAUGCUCGUAAAACUAUAUCUACACUAGGAUUUGUACCAGUUG